rnacentral:rRNA from 1 species
UACGUAGGGCGCAAGCGUUGUCCGGAAUUAUUGGGCGUAAAGAGCUCGUAGGCAGCUUGUCACGUCGGGUGUGAAAGCCCGGGGCUUAACCCCGGGUCUGCAUUCGAUACGGGCAGGCUAGAGUGUGGUAGGGGAGAUCGGAAUUCCUGGUGUAGCGGUGAAAUGCGCAGAUAUCAGGAGGAACACCGGUGGCGAAGGCGGAUCUCUGGGCCAUUACUGACGCUGAGGAGCGAAAGCGUGGGGAGCGAACAGG